rnacentral:rRNA from 1 species
GAGUUUGAUCUUGGCUCAGAGCGAACGCUGGCGGCAUGCUUAACACAUGCAAGUCGCACGGACAUUUCGGUGUUAGUGGCGGACGGGUGAGUAACGCGUAGGGAUCUGUCCAUAAGAGGGGGAUAACUUUGGGAAACUGGAGCUAAUACCGCAUGAUACCUGAGGGUUAAAGGAGUGAUCCGCUUAUGGAGGAACCUGCGUUUGAUUAGCUGGUUGGUGGGGUAAUGGCCUACCAAGGCGAUGAUCGAUAGCUG